CCGGUUGAUCCCGCCGGAGGCGACCGCUGUGGGAGUCCGAUUAAGCCAUGCGAGUCGAGAGAAUAAGAUUCUCGGCAUACCGCUCAGUAACACGUGGAUAACCUGCCCUGUGCUGGGGGAUAACCUCGCGAAAGUGAGAACAAUACCCCAUGGGUCACUACGCCUGGAACGGUGAGUGGCUGAAAGCUCCGGCGGCACAGGAUGGGUCUGCGGCGUAUCAGGUAGUAGGGGGUGUAACGUACCUCCUAGCCUUCGACGCGUACGGGUUGUGAGAGCAAUUGCCCGGAGAUGGAUUCUGAGACACGAAUCCAGGCCCUACGGGGCGCAGCAGGCGCGAAAACUUGACAAUGCGAGAAAUCGUGAUCAGGGGACUCCAGUUGGCUGGAUUAAUAUCCAGUCUGAACCGACUUUAAAUCGGUCGGGUAAUAGGGGCGGGAAAGACCGGUGCCAGCCGCCGCGGUAAUACCGGCGCCCCAAGUGGUCGUCACUAUUAUUGGGCCUAAAACGUCCGUAGCCGGUUUGGUAAAUCCGUGGGUAAAUCAGACAGCCUAACUGUCUGAAUUCUGCGGGGACUGCCAGACUUGAGACCGGGAGAGGUACGGGGUACCUGCGGGGUAGCGGUAAAAUGCGAUCAUCCCGUAGGGACCACCUGUUGCGAAGGCGCCGUACUAGAACGGAUCUGACGGUCAGGGACGAAGCCUAGGGGCACGAACCGGAUUAGAUACCCGGGUAGUCCUAGGUGUAAACGCUGUGGACUUGGUGUCGGGGACUUUCAGAGAGUUUCCGGUGCCGGAGUGAAGAUGUUAAGUCCACUGCCUGGGGAGUACGGUCGCAAGGCUGAAACUUAAAGGAAUUGGCGGGGGAGCACCGCAACGAGAGGAGCGUGCGGUUUAAUUGGAUCAACGCCGGA
rnacentral:rRNA from 1 species